UACGUAGGGUCCGAGCGUUGUCCGGAAUUACUGGGCGUAAAGGGCGCGUAGGCGGCACUGUUAGUCAGGCGUGAAAGUCCUGGGCUCAACCUGGGAACUGCGCUUGAUACGGCAGAGCUAGAGGAUGGAAGAGGCUCGCGGAAUUCCCAGUGUAGAGGUGAAAUUCGUAGAUAUUGGGAAGAACACCGGUGGCGAAGGCGGCGAGCUGGUCCAUUACUGACGCUGAGGCGCGACAGCGUGGGGAGCAAACAGG
rnacentral:rRNA from 1 species